rnacentral:rRNA from 1 species
CAUGGCUCAGAUUGAACGCUGGCGGCAUGCCUUACACAUGCAAGUCGAACGGCAGCGCGGGAGCAAUCCUGGCGGCGAGUGGCGAACGGGUGAGUAAUACAUCGGAACGUGCCCAAUCGUGGGGGAUAACGCAGCGAAAGCUGUGCUAAUACCGCAUACGAUCUACGGAUGAAAGCAGGGGAUCGCAGGACCUUGCGCGAAUGGAGCGGCCGAUGGCAGAUUAGGUAGUUGGUGAGGUAAAGGCUCACCAAGCCUUCGAUCUGUAGCUGGUCUGAGAGGACGACCAGCCACACUGGGACUGAGACACGGCCCAGACUCCUACGGGAGGCAGCAGUGGGGAAUUUUGGACAAUGGGCGCAAGCCUGAUCCAGCCAUGCCGCGUGCAGGAUGAAGGCCUUCGGGUUGUAAACUGCUUUUGUACGGAACGAAACGGUCUUUUCUAAUAAAGAAGGCUAAUGACGGUACCGUAAGAAUAAGCACCGGCUAACUACGUGCCAGCAGCCGCGGUAAUACGUAGGGUGCAAGCGUUAAUCGGAAUUACUGGGCGUAAAGCGUGCGCAGGCGGUAAUGUAAGACAGUUGU